rnacentral:rRNA from 1 species
UCCUACGGGAGGCAGCAGUGAGGAAUAUUGGUCAAUGGCCGAGAGGCUGAACCAGCCAAGUCGCGUGAGGGAAGACGGCCCUACGGGUUGUAAACCUCUUUUGUCGGGGAGCAAAGCGAGUCACGUGUGACUCAUUGAGAGUACCCGAAGAAAAAGCAUCGGCUAACUCCGUGCCAGCAGCCGCGGUAAUACGUAGGGGGCAAGCGUUGUCCGGAUUUACUGGGUGUAAAGGGCGGGCAGCCGGGCUGACAAGUCAGAUGUGAAAUCCGAGGGCUUAACCCGCGA